UGUGUUCAUUUAUAAGUUGUUUGUCCCUUUUUGGUGGAGACUGUUAUUAAGACGUUUAUAACUGUAUUUGUUUUCAUAAAAACACUCUGGAUCACGACUUAGGUAUCAUUUCUAUCAUUCAAUUAUAAUUUUAUUUCUAUAUUUGUUAUUUGAUAUAUGUGAACAAUGUUUGAUUUACGGGCCGUAUUCCUACCAAUUCUAGUCAGUAAAAAUGAGUGAGAAGAUAUAUAAAAUGUGUCCCCACAUAUUGCGUUGUCUCCCUUAUCACCAGACUGCAUAGUCGAAACUUUUGUACCUUCAUGAAAUAUGUAAAUCUACUGGUUAUGUUUUAAACUUAUUAUUGGAAUGUUGUAGC
rnacentral:lncRNA from 1 species